UCUAGAGCUUGUAACAGGUCAACGAGCAAUUGACUUUUCACGGCUGGAAGAGGAGGAUGAUGUCUUACUGCUUGACCAUGUCAAGAAGCUCGAGAGGGAGAAAAGACUGGAUGAUAUCGUAGAUUGCAACCUUAAUGAACAUUACAAUAUCCAGGAAGUGGAAAUGAUGAUCCAAGUUGCAUUACUUUGUACCCAAGCAUCACCGGAAGACCGUCCAGCAAUGUCAGAG
rnacentral:misc_RNA from 1 species